rnacentral:rRNA from 1 species
UACGUAGGGGGCUAGCGUUGUCCGGAUUUAUUGGGCGUAAAGAGCGUGUAGGCGGCCAGGUAGGUCUGCUGUGAAAACUCGAGGCUCAACCUCGAGACGUCGGCGGAAACCAUCUGGCUAGAGUCCGGAAGAGGAGAGUGGAAUUCCUGGUGUAGCGGUGUAAUGCGCAGAUAUCAGGAAGAACACCCGUGGCGAAGGCGGCUCUCUGGGACGGUACUGACGCUGAGACGCGAAAGCGUGGGGAGCGAACAGG